rnacentral:rRNA from 1 species
UCAGAGUUUGAUCUGCUCAGGAUGAACGCUAGCUACAGGCUUAACACAUGCAAGUCGAGGGGCAGCAUGUUGGUUGCUUGCAACCAACGAUGGCGACCGGCGCACGGGUGAGUAACGCGUAUCCAACCUACCCUUGUCCAUCGGAUAACCCGUCGAAAGGCGGCCUAACACGAUAUGCGGUUCACAGCAGGCAUCUAACGUGAACGAAAUGUAAAAGGAGAAGGAUGGGGAUGCGUCUGAUUAGCUUGUUGGCGGGUAACGCCACAAGGCUACGAUCAGUAGGGGUUCUGAGAGGAAGGUCCCCCANAUUGGAACUGAGACACGGUCCAAACUCCUACGGGAGCA